rfam:Gossypium arboreum cultivar AKA8401 contig_1099_17, whole genome shotgun sequence.
AACCCAUGAUAAGGGCACCUUCUCAAUAGAUCCUUGUAUCUUUGUCAUACAUCAUAAAGUGUUUCUAAAUCCAUCUGCAUAAAAGAAGAGAUAUCAUUCCUUAAUUU